CGCAAAAAGCUUUUCAUGCCUACUCUUAUUAAGAACACUAUUUCAUUUUAGUUAGGCAGUAGUCCUCCCCCGGCGUCACCCCAAAUUAGAUAGCAAACUUCUGCUGGAAUCGUUUUCGCUUGAGACCCAUGUAAUAAUUUCUCUCUCCCAUCAGAGUUCUUAGAACCCCAUGCGGCAAGAGAUCAUGAAACGACAAGAAGAAUAGGGGAAAUAAAUGACACCAAGAAUAGCCUCUUAUUUCACAUGAAUAAAUGUAUAUCACUAAAUAAAUGUCACAUAAUCAUGUAUCAGAAAAUGAAUCACUCCGCCUCCAGAAAAUCUCCAAAUCUCCAACUCAACUUCCACCCCCUUGGACCAAAGGGACAGAUGAAAAAAAAUUUAACAAAUAUAAAUAAUAAAUAGAAAGACACCACAACUCCACAAGGAAAACAAUAUGUCCCCUCCCCAUUUCCUAUGCAAUGUAAGACUCUCAAUGAGCAAAAAAAGUAAAGAAAGACACCAGGGAAGCAAGAGCAACAGCACAGACAUCCGGGAAAGUCCCCACAGAGCCAUUCUCCAUGGCAGGUGCUGGGCUUGGAGCCAUGCCGACCUCUUGGGCACCAACCACGGCCAAAACAAGUACCAGAAGCAGCAGAGGUGCCUUCAAGAAGAGCUUAAGUGCUGCCAUUCUAAUUUAGAUAUAAAGAUUCACAGAGGUAUGGGGAGAAGAGAAAGAGAGAGAUUGAGAAGUAUAUGAAUUUGGGUUGCUAGGUGAAAGCUCCGCUUGGGGUUUUUAUAGUGAUAGAAGAUGGUUCGAG
rnacentral:lncRNA from 1 species